rnacentral:rRNA from 2 species
UACAACUUUCAACAACGGAUCUCUUGGUUCUGGCAUCGAUGAAGAACGCAGCGAAAUGCGAUAAGUAGUGUGAAUUGCAGAAUUCAGUGAAUCAUCGAAUCUUUGAACGCACAUUGCGCCCUUUGGUAUUCCAAAGGGCAUGCCUGUUCGAGCGUCA